AUUACAUUUGGGGGGCGGGGGGGGGCGACACCUUUUCCAGUCACAAUUUAGUCACGCCCCUGGUUGAGGAGAGUUCCAUAUCAAACGCCCAUUUCUGUGAAAACGCAAGUGAAAGUAUAACCUAUCCGGUCCCACAGCCUCUCUGGAAAAUACCAUAAUCCAUUGCAGCUGACUGAGGAACGGACGUGUACUUGCGGUGCAGGCUGCUGCUGCUCCUGCCCUCCAAGUCUUAAAGAUGAAGUGUUCAAGUUGUGGCCACAUUUGUCGGAAGACGGACAAGUUCUGCAGCGACUGUGGCACAAAGUUGUCUCUCCAGUCUGCCGACAGCCAAGGAAAUGAACCAAAGUCCUUGGUGGCAGAUAUGGAAGAAAGAACUGGUAAAUCACAGCAACUCACCAACGAGUCCUCCAUCGGGCCAGAUGAUGAUAGAACUGGCAACUCCAAGAAAAAGAAAAAAAAGAAAAGUAAAAGCAAACAGACUAAGCGUGGCAUCUUCCCACCAUCGGACAAAGAGCAAUGCCUUUCCUCGGAAAGCGUCAUGAAUUCCCUUCAAUCUGGGUUCCCAUCACAAGAAAGCUUGUCAGCUUCCUCAGCCGAUUUUCACAACAUUCCUGCCCAGGAUGCUAACAUUCAGAGCGAAACGGCAGAGACAAGUCCAAUGAACAAAUCUGAAGCCGCUUCAGAAGAACGUCUCUCUGAAGAGUGCGAUGCACAAAAACUGGGUCAGGAUUCAGCGGUACCGACCCUGGACUCUACCUCCAAGGACAGCACCAGUUUGGAUGCAAUCACAGGGACCACGGCCAGCAGCAACACACCUCAAACCUCUAAAAGAGACAACUUGAAGGCCAAAAAUACACAAGUCACCUCAACUAAAAAGGGGCAAAACCAGAAGCGGGCUGGUAUUCAAGAUGGCCCUCACACCCCUUUCAAGGCAUAUGCUGAGAACAUCGGCUCCAGCGUGGACGCGGUGGAGCACACCGAGAUCCAGACGUCCGCUGCACAAACCGCAGAUGAUGCAGAGUCCAACCGGCUGCUUGAACUGCGGCACGAAAGGAACGCCAGGAGCACAAACAUCACUUCCAAAAACAGAACAACGAUUUACUUCCAUGCUGUCCUCUCAAAGGAUUUCAAUCUUGACCCGAAUCAAGACAGUGUCUUCAUCAUAGCCGGUUCUCAUAUAGGAACAUGGGAUCACGUUGCAGUUCCACUAAGUGUGACCAGGGAUCUCAAGGAGCAUGGGUAUUUGGUCGAAGGCAGUGUUGAGACAACUAAAACAGACGUACUAUCUGUGUCAGUACCAUACAAAUAUGUUGUCUUCAAGAAAAAAAAGAACAAACAUGAGUUUGAGUACAUCUACAAAGCAGAUUCGACGCAGCACACCAACAGAUGCUUGUUUGUCAAAGAGCACCUCCUCAAUAAAGAAGGGGACUGGCAUCAAUAUGAUGACAUUGUCUGUGUUGAGCCGCCAUCAGGCUUAAACUGGAAGACUGUGAAAAACAAUGUGACAGAGUUUUUCGGCGGAAAGAAAUCAUUUAUUGAAGGACGAGACAUCGCUGGGACAAUAAUGCUGGAGACUAUAUUUACUCUUCUCAGUACGUGGAAUGAUGUCAACUUGACUAGUUUUUUAGUCCAGCUGAAGCAGUUCUUUGAGGUUUAUGGAAACCCAUUUGUUUACGAGGACAAACCUCUGAGAUGGGAUUCCUCAAACUACGGAAAGGAUGACGUGAAGAAGAUGAUGAAGGAAUUCCUGCUGAGAAAUGUGGCUCCUUGGUUAAGGAAGGAUGGAAAUGAAGGAAGUACGUACGUUAAAGAUGGUCUACGAGCGGCUGUGAUUAUGCUCCACGUGUGCAGAGAACAUGCUAUCAAACUGGACCAUACCGAGCUCCUCCAUCUGUGCCUCGGUCUCUGUUUACCCACACUAAACCGAGGUGACUUCCUCCAGUACUGGGACAAGUUUUCACGGGAUGUCGCUCUUCUUAAAAAGCUGCCAGGCAUGUUGUUGUUCCUUAUAAACACUGUGAAGCAACACGGAGACCCCCAAUGGAUGAUGGUCCUACCGCUCUUUCACCUCCUCGAAGGCUCCAUAAAACCCUUUGAGACGCCAACGUCGGAAAACUUGAAAUAUGACUCGUCCUGGGCAGGUCUGCAAGGACUCGGAUUGAAUACGCAUCGGGAAUAUACAAUGAUGAGCAAACAGGACGUCAAAGCUGUGAUUAACACGAUGAAAAAACAUCGCCACUUGAUGGAGGUGGAUGCGCUUGCAGUGCGGUCUUGUUUGUACCUGAUGUCUGUCAGUGAUCUGAAGGAACACAGCUUCAUGAACGUCCAACUUUUGGACAUUCUACUUGCCUUUACCAACAAGGCACCUCAGGAGAUCAGCUACAUCAACUACGAGGAUAUAUCCAGCAUUCUUAUACAGAUCACAGAGAAUCUCCUUGGGAAAAAAUACAGUUGUUUUUCACAGGACUAUGCAAAAUCAUGCAUGGCAGAGGGGUUGAACCUCUUGGAGAAGAUUUGCAAAGGAGUCAAGUCAGCAUCAUCCUUUAGUAAUAUUCCUAUCCUGUGCAUGAAGCUGGUUGCUUCAGUGUUUGACUUUGUCGCUUCCCAGGAAACUCACAGAGAUGGACAACACAAGAAGGAAAAAGACUUGGUGAUCUCAAAGUCAGUGGCCACAGUGAGAAACUGGAUGAGUUCACGCUUCAAGGGGAGACUGUUCUCCAUGGGGUUUGCCUCUUACAAGAUUCAGCCCUCAGAGGAGAUGAAAGUGUGGAACCACAUCAUCGCCAUCAACUUCAACGAUGAGCAAAGCACACAAGAGUGGAGGCAGAAAUUAUCGAAGGACUUUGAGGGCAAAUACAAACAGGAAAGACCUGAGGAUCAACUUGAAUUCUAUUGCGCAAAAAUCGAGAAACCCGAUGAGUCUCUUGAACAUGUCGCGCCGACUAUUGAGCAUUGUGCUCUCGAGGCUGUUUCAUCAGUAUGCCAGAGCAAGUCUGAAGGUCAACUUUUUGAGAAGUUCAAGAUGGACGGCAAGUUCAUGAAACUCGUUUCAGCCAUUCUACACAAUUCCUGGCCAAAGAACAGCCAGGGACGCUGUGAUGACAAUGAAGAGGUGGUCCUCCGGCAUCUUCUUUCCUGGACUUCUGCGAGACACGUACUCCAGCUACAUGAUGCCGAGGGAAACCCUGUUGGGAAACUCACCAAGGAUGCCAGAGAUCGAAUUGCUGUCGCCAUAUCAACAUUUACAAGCAUUAAGAAUCGGUUCAUUCAGGGAAACAUCCCAAUCAAGCUGCUGGAAAUCAUUUUGGGAAGUAGACACGCCUUCUUGGACCUGCUGAAGCUCGAUUGUCUCUCAGAGAAUGAACAGCACAAGGAUUCCAGCAAAAUGAGAAGGCUUCUUCAGUGCCGAGAUGCAGAAGUUAAAGCUGUUUACAGUGAGAGGGAGAAAGUGGACGCCAUGCUAACAAUGAUACACAACCUUGACGCGCACAUGACAGUUGACGUCAAAGACAUGGAGCAGAGGCGUUGCGUCAACAUCGAGGCCAUGCCCCUGGAGCUUUUUUUGCAGGUUCACAAAAUCGACCAACUUUCCUCCACGAUGGGCGUCGUCACUUACUUCCAAAUGGAUGAAGACACCAGACAAAUGUCAGAGGAGUUUCACAAGUUCAAAGACAGUUAUAUAUUCAAACUUUGUUGGCGGGAACAAGCCACAAUUGUAGCCAAUGCGGAAAUGGAGCGCAGCGGUUCUGUUGAGGAUGAUGCAGCGGCCGUCGCCGUGACAAUCGAUGUGCUUCAUGCUGAAGUUUUCAAACCGUGCUUUGCUAAGUACAAGGACAUCUACAUGCGUUUGAAGGACGGCAGUAUAAAGAUAAAGGACGUGAACCGCCUUUUCGGCGAUUAUAAAGGCAAGUACGACGAGCUCGAAAAGGACUUGCAUAUCAUGUGCAAAGUUGACAUGUCGACGGAGGAGCUGUGGAUCCACAGCAGGCUUCAGCAGAUCGAGCAGUAUCACGAGCUCCAUCUUGCCGUGGCUUCGGCUCAGGUCAUCAUGGAGGUCAAAGAGGCACUUUGUCUUCAAGGAGACUUCAGGGUGCUGGAGACACUCGUGAAAGUUAGUGAUGCAGACUUUCAAGAGGAGGAGCUGCAACGCAUCGACAAUGACUUGAUCGAGACAAAGAAGGAUCUGGUGGACAUCACAGAGUCUCGCAGACUUUGCUUAAACGAGCUGGGACGGAAGGGCCUUUUUGUAAAAUGGCUGCAGGGUUCUCUUACAGAUCUCAAUGAGUUGAAGGUGUUUGUUGACUUGGCGUCCAUCUCUGCGGGAGAGAACGACAUGGAGGUGGAUCGGGUGGCUUGUUUCCAUGACGCAGUUCUUGGCUACUCUUCCAUUCUGUACGAGCUCCCACCAGACUCGGGGUUUCAGGCCUUCAGAGAUGUUUUAAAGAAGCUUUGGAGAGCUUUGGACAAUGACAAGAACCUGCCCAAAAAACUGCGUGACAGCGCAUGCCAUUUGGACUGGUUGAAGACCGUAAAGGACAGUCACGGAUCAGUGGAGCUGUCUGCUCUCUCUCUGGCAUCAGCCAUCAACAGCAAAGGUGUCUACCAUAUCGCUGCACAAAAAGGCAAAAAGGUGAGCCUGGACACCACCCUGGAAGUUGAGAUUCUGGAAGAGAGUGAAGGGGCGCACGAGACACGCCGCUAUUCUCUGGAAGACGUGCGGGAGCUGCAGAACAAAUUGAUGCUCAUGUCCGGGAAAGGCGGUCGGGGACAGAAGGAAGUGAAUUAUUUUGCAGAGAUAUUUGCUGGCGUUCAAAGACUAGCUGAGGCUUUCAUUGCCCUCUAUACUGCUGGAAACCCUCUCUUCAGACAGUGGCAAGCUGAAAUCCACUGCUGCUCCAUUGAGAAACACAGCAUCGUGAUGGACUUCAACCAAGGCGACGUUUUCAAUCGUGUCACCGUUGAAGGCAGAGUUGAAGAGCGCUUGCCUGAACUCUGCAGGGAAAUGGAGAAAUGUCUGGAGCUUUGGUUGGAUUUUGUGGAUGAACAGCGAUCCCGGCAUUACUAUUUGAACUACUUUACCGCCGAACAGAUUGUCUACCUAUCCAACAACCUGUCUCAUCAACAUGUGGACAGUGUGGAGGAUCAAGUCCUGAUGAUGCUGUCCUUCAUUAAGCCAACAUGCAAAGCCUCAGACAUACAAGUUGUGUGGCAAAAAUUUGAAAAUGAAACCCUCCCCAAAGCACGAGAACAAAAUGAAGAAGUUGAUUUCCAGACCUCUGCUGUAGUGGGAAUCUCUGACCUGCACAGAGAAUCCCGAGAAUUGGAUUCUGUGUCCGAUCUUGAGGAACAAAUGAAAGGAUUGCAUAGCAUUGAUCAGAUCUGGAAUAUUUACAUGAAAGACUUGAGGCAUGUUCUUCCAAAUGUUCUUGAUCUAAAAAGUCUCGGAAGACUUCUGGAAAUACUGGCUGACCUGGAAGAUGAUGGGUGUGGACGUAUUUUUGAUAACUUCAUAACUAGAAGAUCUCCUACGUGCCUAGCAGACGGGAAUCCAAGCCUCAUCAUUUGUCCUCACGAGGAGGUGUUAACCUCUUGCAUCUCCAUUUAUAUGGCCAGUGAAGAUGAGGCACUCCCGACUUACGACGAGGUCCUGCUGUGCGACUCCUCGACAACGUAUGAGCAGGUGGAGAUAUUCCUGAGACGUUGUCUCAUGGCAGGUAGCAGAGAUAAGAAGAUCUACUGUCUUCUGUACGGGGAUCUGCUUGCAUAUGACGUGAGCUCUAAAGUGGAGAAGUUUUUCCAGCGUAAGAAAGUCCAGAGUACGAAGGACUACAGACUUGUUAUCCUUUGUAGCUCAGAAAGAGAACACGCAUACCUUCCGUCAGCCUUCAGUCAGUACAGGUUGCACAUAGUUCCUCAAAAACCGCUGGCCAGCAUCCAAGCGUAUCUCCAUCGGCAUUAUGCGGUCCCAGCGGAACAACCCAGCGCAGCAGCUGUAUUCAAAGAUGGCCUCUGCGUAGGCACCGUCUCGUCUGAAAGGGCUGGUGUCGGUAAAUCGCUCUACAUCAAGAGGCUGUAUGAAUCCCUGAAGAAGUCCUCGACAAAGUCCUCGAUGAAGAAAUGCAUUCGCUUGAUUGAACCAAGUGUCGAUGAGAACGCCAUCCUUCAGUCUCUUUUGGAAGUCCUUGCAGAAAAGGCAGAGAAGAAACUGGUCGUGUUCCAUUUUGACAUUACAUCAUCGGUACAGAAGGGAAUCCAUGAGUUUCUUUUCAAGUUGCUGAUUCUGCGUUAUCUAAUGGACUCUGAGGGAAACAUGUGGAAGUGCAGUGACAGGCAUUUGUAUGUCAUGGAGUUCUUAGAACAAACCGUCAAGCAAAACAGAAAUGCUUCAGGUCAGAUGAAAAACCCAAAGAGUGCAUUCCCUGAUGUGUUCCCAAAGAUUUUCUGCCGACCCCCUAAAGAGGUUCUGACACUCGAAACAAAUCAACAGGAAGGCUCUAAUGUGAGCGGCGACGACCCAUUAAUGGAUGACAAAGUAUUCAGGAGUGUAGCCUUCCAGCGACCGUACCAGUAUCUCACACGGUUUUACAAACGCACAAAUCUUGACACGUUCAGGUACACGAUCAUCAUUGAGCCGAACAAAGUCCGUCACAGGGAUGCUGAAGGGUCACACGGGGAAUGUCUUCAGAUGCUCCUCAUGUACUGUGGCAUAAACGACCCAUCUUGGGCAGAACUAAGAAAUUUUUCGUACUUUCUCAAUAUGCAGCUGGCAGACUGUGAGUCGUCACAUUUCUGUGAUGCCGAUUUAACCGGUGAUGUCCUUACGGGCUUCAAAACAUUUGUGGUGGAUUUCAUGAUACUCAUGGCAAAGGACUUUGCCACUCCAUCACUCAGGAUCUCCGACCAGAGUGCCGGUAGGGUACAAGCGGACCUAACCGAUUCCCCGGAUGAAGAUAUUGCCCCCUUCUCAAUCAGAAAGAGAUGGGAAACAAAACCACACCCUUACAUCUUCUUUAACGACGACCAUAUAUCCAUGACCUUCAUUGGUUUCCAUCUGAAACUCAAUGCACAGAAGUCAUUGGAUGCUAUCGAUCACAGAUCCGGAAGGGUCAUUAAAGAAAACGUCAUGUCGCUGGCAUUGUUUCAAGGACUUAAACUUCAGGGAGUUCCUUUCAACACGGACUUUGACAACCUACCCAGAAGUAAGAAAAUACAAAGAAUCUGCAAUGUUCUCGGAAUCCGGAAGCCUCUCGAUCCGGAUGAAACAUAUGAGCUUACAACUGAUAACAUUCUGAAGAUUCUGGCAAUCCACAUGCGUUUCAGAUGUGGCAUCCCUGUCAUCAUCAUGGGAGAGACUGGAUGCGGUAAAACGAGGCUCAUUAAAUAUCUUUGUGAGUUGCAAAGGAGGGACACCGAUGCCGAGAACAUGAAACUGGUCAAAGUACACGGAGGGACAACAUCCAGAAUAAUUUACACCAAAGUGAGAGAAGCGGAACGCAUGGCUUCGGUCAACAAACAACAACACGGAUUGGACUCUGUUCUUUUCUUCGAUGAGGCUAACACCACGGAGGACAUUAGCAGUAUCAAGGAGGUACUCUGUGACAAGAUGGUCGAAGGACAGCGUUUGCAACGUGGCACCGGACUACAGAUCAUUGCAGCAUGCAACCCUUACCGUAAGCACACCGAUGAGAUGAUCAAGAGGUUGGAAUCGGCCGGUCUUGGGUACAGAGUCCGGGCUGAGGAAACUGAUGAAAAGCUCGGGUCUAUACCUCUCCGCCAGUUGGUCUACAGAGUUCAAGCUCUGCCACCGAGCAUGAUUCCUCUUGUAUGGGAUUUUGGACAGCUAAAUGACCACACAGAAGAAGUAUACAUUGAGCAGAUCGUGAAGAGAGUAGCGGAACAGAGAAACAUCACUCAGACGUACUUCACAUACAUUACUCGGGCGCUAUCCGCCUCGCAGAAGUACAUGCGAGCGAGGAAAGAUGAAUGUAGCUUUGUCAGCCUGAGAGAUGUGGAACGUUGCAUGCAGGCUUUUGUUUGGUUCUAUGACAACCAUGCUGAUUUUUUUGCAAAGCUUCAUAAUCAAAAGUGGGACAAAGAAGAACAAGAUCCUAUACUCUGGUCUCUAGUCAUGGCCUUAGGAGUGUGCUACCAUGCCUGCCUCGAACACAAGGAUGAAUACAGACAAAACGUUAGCAAAAGCCUACCGACAAGCUACAGGCCAGAAAAAAUACGACAAGACAUCACCAUGAUGCAGGAUUUACUCCUCGGUGACGUACCGAUGGCUGACACCAUUGCGAGAAACGGUGCGCUCAAAGAGAAUGUUUUCAUGAUGGUUCUCUGCAUUGAGCUUAGGAUUCCUCUUUUCUUAGUCGGGAAACCCGGAAGUUCAAAAUCUCUGUCCAAAACACUGGUGGCAGAUGCGAUGCAGGGUCAAGCCGCACGAUCCGAUCUCUUCAAAAGGCUCAAGCAAAUCCAUUUGGUUUCAUUCCAGUGUAGCCCUCACUCCACACCGGAAGCUAUCAUUAAGACAUUCCGACAAUGCGGACGUUUUCAGGAAGGGAAGAAUCUUAAUGAAUACGUGUCAGUCGUUGUUCUGGAUGAGAUCGGGCUAGCCGAGGACUCGCCCAAGAUGCCUCUUAAAAUCCUUCACCCGCUGCUGGAAGAAGGAUGCAUUGAUGAUAAGCCGCUGCCGCAUAAAAAAGUCGGCUUCAUCGGCAUUUCCAACUGGGCCUUAGACCCCGCGAAAAUGAACAGAGGCAUAUUUGUGUCUCGAGGCGACCCUGAUGAGUGCGAAUUGAUCGAGAGCGCAAAAGGAAUUUGCUCUUCUGAUGUCAUGGUUUUGGAAAAGGUGACGCAAUUGUUCCGCCCUUUUGCAAGCGCCUACUUGAAAAUCUGCGAUGAACACGGCAAAGGAUUUUUCGGCCUACGAGACUAUUACAGCUUGAUUAAGAUGAUUUACGCCGUAGCCAAAACAACACAACGAGAACCGACCGACGAGGAGGUCGUCAAAGCAGUCUUGAGAAAUUUUAGUGGCAAAAACCAAGUGGACGCGGUGUCGGUCUUUACCAGAAAUCGUCCCAUCGCGUAUAACCUGGAGAACAUCAACGCUAUUGAGUUUGUGAGAGAGAACAUACGAGCAGUUGAAGAGGAAGAAUGUCGUUACUUGCUGGUGCUUACAAAAAAUUACGCGGCGCUUCAGAUCUUGCAACAGACCUUCUUUUCAGAGUGUGGGCAGCCGGAAAUAAUCUUCGGAUCCAGCUUCCCAAAAGACCAGGAAUACACUCAAAUCUGCCGUAACAUCAACAGAGUAAAGAUCUGCAUGGAAACAGGUCAAACGAUUGUGCUUCUGAACUUGCAGAACCUCUACGAAAGUCUCUAUGAUGCCCUCAACCAAUAUUACGUCUACUUGGGAGGACAGAAAUAUGUGGAUCUUGGACUUGGAACCCACCGUGUCAAAUGUCGAGUUCACAAAGACUUCCGGCUUAUUGUCAUUGAGGAACGAGAGGUGGUCUACAAGCAGUUCCCGAUUCCGCUCAUCAAUCGGCUGGAGAAACACUACCUGGACAUCCACACUGUUCUGAAACCAGAACAGAAGAGGAUAGUGGAAGAGUUGGAGAAAUGGGUCAGGUCCUUUGUGACGGUCAAGGGUCAUCAUUUCGACGUCAACCGCUCAUACGCGUACCUUCCGUCGGACGUCUUCAUUGGCUACCAUUCGGACACGUGUGCUUCUGUGACUCAUCAAGUGAUGGAGACGCAUAAGGACAAUUUGGAAAUAUCACAGGAUAAAUACAAAGUUCUCAACGAGGCUAAACUCGUACUGCUCAGGUGUGCCACACCGGAUUCAGUGGUGCGCUUGGACUGCACAGAUCUCCCCAAAGUGGAGACGAAAGAUCUCGCACAGGUUUACUUUGAAAAGCUAAACAACAGCUGCCUGGCUGACUUCGUAUCUACCCACACAAGACAGGAAGUCCAUCGCUUUUCCACCUUCGCAGAGGUUACAACGUUCUCCAGACUUCUCACUGCAUCCGACUUGAAGCCAUUGGAACAAAUGUCGCAAAGUGUCGUUGAGCUUCUGUCGCUCCAGCAGUUUGACACAGAGCAAUCCUUCCUGAAGAAAAUCAGAAAUGUCCUCACUGUCGACAAGCGAAGCAGCUGUGGUGAAGCCUGCAACAAAGUCGUCAUCAUCAUUCAGAGUGAAUUCGCAGAGAUACCUCAUGGUGCCAAUCUCAUUGCAUCUGCAAAGUUUUCAUCCAUGAAUGAAAUCAACAAGCUGUCCCAGGAGAAUUUAGGCUACAGGGUGUUCAUCUACUUCAUCACCAGGCUGCGAAGGAUUGAAGGAGGGACUUCUUAUGUUGGAUUUCAUGGCGGCCACUGGACUUCGGUGCAUAUUGAUGAGCUCCGUCAAUCAAAACAAAUGGUGUCAGACAUGAAGACGUUGCAAAACAUUACCAUCGCUCAAGUUUUUGCAACAAAGUUGAGGUCACCUGAAGAUGAGAAGUUGGGGGAUAUGGAUGAAGCUUACGUGGAGGAAGAAGAAUCAAGAGAGAAUCAGUGCGAAGAUGACACGACUUUGGUCAUGGACACAACAGCGCUGGUGUGUAGCUGUGUGCAGAGUGCAGUAGGCAUGCUCAGGGACAGGGAAGAAAGCGGUUUCCGCAGCACUCAAAGAGUUGACACCCUCCUGAAGCUUCUCAGUGACAGUGACGGAGCAACAGGUGACUUCCUCCAAAUUGUAAAGACGCGUCUUCACUCAAUGCUAGCCAGCGCCACCGCUUUCACAUCCGCGACUGGCAACUGGGUCGUCAAGGUGGCUUCUAAUACCGACGCCUUACAGGAAGGAGGUACAUUCAGGCGCACUUUAUGGAAGAGCAUUCAGACGAUGGUCGUCCCCAACUUGGCUCAGCUGAUUUCAGUCAUCGACACAGACCGCAACCUGGACAUCUUAAUGGAUCGAGACUGCAGCGAUUCCGUGAAGAGGCUUUGGAUUGAUAUUUUUGGCGAUGAGAAUUUGCUGGAAAUUCCGCAGCCGAGACUCAACUCAGAGAUGACAACAAUUCUUGUACGAAACAACUUGACCAAAGGUGGGGAUCUGAGCUUGAGGAUGCCUUUCAGCUGGAGGAUCAAAGACUACUUAGAGGAGCUCUGGGUUCUUUCGCUUCAAAAUGAAGGUCACACUCAACAAGGAUUUAAUGAUUUCUUUUUAAUGACACCACUGGGGCAACACAUCGCCAAAGCCAGCCCAGAGAUGCAGUUAGAGUUUUUCCAACGUUACCUUCAGGAUUUUGUCUCCUUGACAAUGAAUGUGACCUGUCAGAAAGAAGUCGAGCUCCUGUGUGGUGCAUUAAACAGCUGCAUCAACGAGCUGCGCUCGCAGUUCCCUGCCACGGACGCAGUUCCGUCGCUCCCGUGGGUUCACGCUGCAUAUCAUCGGUUCAAGAAUCGACUGCAGAACCUCUCUAGAAUUGUGUGCCUUGAACCUCAAGUGACUGAUGACCUCUUGAAGAGUUCUCAUCUCAGCAAUGGAGUUGAACUGGUGCUCGAUGUGUAUGCUGCUCUUGCAUGCCUGGAGUACCUGGAACCGAGACACCUGGUGACACUUGCAGAAAAACAAGCCUGGCUCAGACGAGUGAAGAAACUGAAGGUCCCAAUUGAGCUGGUCUGCUCAGAAGAUGGUGUGAGAAGUUAUCAAGAGAGGAGCAAAACCGUUGUCUGCACGGUUCAAAAUGUCUGGAAUCGGAUAUUUUCUGUGUCCUUAUUUGUGGAGCACUUUGGGGCAGUGGAGAACGAAAUGACGCCUUUAAUUCUGCAGUACUUGCGAUUGCUCGAUCAGAUUCUGGCAAAUAAUUCUGACCUGAAAACACAGCACACGUUUGAGGCGGUGAUCGACUUGCUGAAAAAAUGCAAAAAUGAAGCUGUUCAAAGGAUCUUCAGGUUUGAGUCGCUUCCUUGGUGCUUGCUGUGCCACAGCGACCCGCAUCAUCCGGUCUGUCUGCCAUGCCAGCACAUGUUCUGUGGCUCAUGCAUUAAAUCGUGGUUGGUUCCAUGUCAGAUGUACUGUCCUCACUGUAAUCAGUCAGUCGAUGAUGACUUUGCAGUUGUUCCCUCUGAGGACUUAAGGAUUCGAAUUGACCAACACGUGUCAUUCAGGAAUCAGUGCAACGCUUUCUUCAUCGAUUUAGUGUCUCUUGUGUGCUUCAAGGACAACGCCCCCCCGUGUCCGGCUGUCAUUGGCCACUUGCUGUCUUUUCUCAUGGUGCAAACCAGCGCUGAUCAACAAAUCCAGACCAAGGUGCUUUCUCCGUUUGAUGACUCGGCGGAUAAAAACCCUGUAGUUCGCUCGGUGGUGCUCAAACUCCUGCUGAAGUACAGUUUCGAUGAAGUGAAAGAACACCUUCAGGAACACCUGCUGGCUGUCGAGCACUGCAACAUUUUAGAGGAGAAGGACAAAACCAAACUCUACUGUCUGUACAUGAACUGCAUGCAGGAUUCCAUGUUUGAGAGAUUUGAGUUCCGUUCCGAUACUGACAGACGGGCGUGUUUGCGGCAUGAAAGUGACUUCCUGAGGGAGUUUCUUCUGUCACAUAAUAUGUCGGCUGAAAGGGCUACAGUGGAGAAUCUACAGCAGCUAGCAAGAGUCCGAAUGGACUUGGAUGUGGCAGCGGCCAUCAUUGGUGCUAAACCCCAGGACGGGGGUGAGAGUAAAAACGAUGACUUCAUGGAGGGGGUGGUCAGGUUGUGCACCAACAGCGGGAACAACUGGUAUCGUGUCUACUUGAUUCGUAAGAUUUGCAGCCAACACGGAGUGGAGUUUGCCAUGAAUCGUCUCAAAAUGGAGAACAUGCACUGGCUCUAUCCCGAAGAAGUGCUGCAACAGAGUGAAGAAGCCACCUCAGUUGAUCAUUAUCUCGUGUGUGGAGAAAGCUACAAGACAAUCAGAGAUGCAUGUGCAAAGGCAAUUGCAGAGGGACGAAUGGACGAUAUCGAUGAGAUUUGUCAGGGCUGCACAAUGUCAGCAAACAGGGUGAGUGUGUACCUCCUUUUAGCACUCUACAGAGAAGUUACCAUCCUCUACAGAAACACCAAUGCCGGUUUACACCCAAAGCCAGAGGAUUUCCAAAAACUACUACAUUUCAUCAAGACUUCCAAGGUGCUUCCCAGCCCACAGGUCAAGGUCUUUGCUGAGGCUCUGGUGGCCAACCGACUCGGGCCGCUGUCGGUCAGUCCCGGGAUGACAGGGGACGAUUACGUGUCUGUGACGCUGACUGUUCACCUGGCUGCCGUCUUGCUUUGCACGGACCAGACCAUCGUAGCGCCUCUGCAGAAGCUGGCGACGACACCUCUUAGCAUGCAGGCUGCCUUCUUGCCGACCAUGCCACAAAACAAGUUAGCAGAGGCGAUGCAAGCUCUCCCCUAUUUGAGGUGGUACUACUGUGCAAAUGGUCACCCGUGUACAGUCGGUGAUUGCGGCCAGCCCAUGCAAACAUAUCACUGCCUUGACUGUGGUGUCCUGAUUGGUGGCAUCGACCACAACCCUGUGGAGAAUUUUAAAGUUGUUGAAACAACAGGUGGCAACACUCAGCAAGGCCACAUCCUGGGCGACCCUGGUCGAAGGGACAAUGCGGACAUGCUGGACAGCAACAAUCUUUCUCCUGUUUCCUUCACAAUCAUCCGCAUGCUUACUCACAUGGCCAUGCUGGUUGGAGCCUCCAAAGAAUCCAAGGCGGUCGCUUCUAUCAUCAGGCCACCGGUCACAGACCCAGGGCCUUUUCUCCUUGCUCACCUGCAAAAAGAUAUAGAGCAUCUUGUCAAAUGUCUGCAGAAAGGGACAGAUGAUGCAGUGGGUACUGUUCACCUGCUGCUCAGCAGUCUUCUGGAACCCGAGCAGGAGCAAAACUUGAGCGAUUACCAGAUGCUUUCCACCAAAGAGAUGAGAAAUGAAUGGGAGCUCCAAAUGAGCAACUCCAUCAUGGCUAAAUUGACGCACUUGGACAAACAACUGAAAGAAAUGAAGAUAUUCAUCCAGACUAACUCUCACAACUCCAACGCCAUCACAAGGCUGCUGUGUGACAAUCCAGGCUUCUUCUUGACGUCACUUCCGACAGAUUCUCCCAUCCAUACGUCAGCCGUGUGGAGCUGCAGGGAGAAAGUGUCUCUGCUGCACUUGACCCACCUGGUGGAGAAGAGCAAGGGCAAGGACAACCUGCCUGUGUUACGGAGGUUUCUAAAACGGGAGGCAGAGCUGCGGCUGGUGAGGCACCUCCCUGACAUCCUGACUCUGCAGAAAGAACUUGUCAAGAAGUUUCAAAACCUCAACCAAAUUACGUGCGACACCAUCGUGGGGUUUCUACACAGCUUGAAAGCAGCUUCGCUAAGAACCUGGUAUGAGAAACACAUCACCACCUUCUUAACUACAUGGAAUCAGCUCAGAUCCUCUCUGGCAACCAAAGGUGAGAUCAAGCUGCCUGAUGAGUUCUGUCAGAAGGACCUUGACACCACCAGUGACCUCAGGGUGCUGUUUCCUCAAGGACAAGGCCUUGGCAUGUGCUCUACAGCCCUUGUUAGCUACCUCAUCAGCCUGCACAAUGGCAUGAUAUACUGUGUGGAUAAACACAUGGGAGAGGAGACCAGCUACAAAGUUAGCCCUGCAGAUUUGACGGACCUGCAUGUGAUCCACUAUGAGCUGGAGAGGGAUGUGAUGCCGAUGGUUCUUUCCAACACCCAGUACAGCAUCGAGAGGGGCCAGGACACUCUCCAUGAAUAUGAUUUGCCCAAGAUCCAGAUGCAGGUUGUCUCCCGCUUUCUCCUGGGAAAACCGCUGAUUUAUCUGAAGGGAAUCCCGACACUCGUGAACAGACACGAACGCAACUAUCAGACCAUCCUGAAAGACGUCAAUAAAAAAGUCAAACAAGAAACUCUUCCGUCUCUGACCGUGUUGGAUCUGGUGAGGGAUCUAAACAACUACAGCGAAGCGUGUGAGGCCCUCUCCACUCUGGAAUUGGCCCUCGGUUUCCUCGCCACGGAUGGGAGAGACGCUGACAUGCAGCUGUCCUCCUACCUGGAGGAGGUGCUGCAGAUGGGAAACCAGAUUUCUGAGCACAUCCUCAAGGUGUUGAGGCAGUGCUCUUUAAAGCAUUGUGUUGCACUGUGGCAGCUGCUGACCGCUCACAAAUCAGAAACGAUGCUGAUGCUGAAGAAGGAUCCUUUCGUCGGAGUCUGUCCUGACUACCAGAAGGACCUGGGUGAGAAUGAGCGCCAUCUGCUGACUGCUUUCUGUCAUGAGAGCAGCACUGACACGUUCCUGCUGGAGAUGCACGAGUUCCUAAUCCUGGUGUUGAAGAAUCCCAAAGCACCGGAUACCUACAAGCCAUUUUGGACCCUGAAGGAAUCACUGCAGGCUUACAUGAUGCUCAAGGACUUGGACUUUCCGCCUCACCUGGACCAGCACUUCCCGGACAAUAUCCGCCUUUGUCACUGUGUCGAAACCUGGAAGUUCAUCAACUCCAUCAAAAAAGAGUGCAGUCGGCGUCAAAUAGGAUGAGAGGACGUGGCCCUCUUUGUAAGGUUUCUGCAUGCUCACAUUGAUCACAGUCCAAACUAGUUGACGGACAUCUUGACAUAUCAUAUAAGAUUUUCUGUUAUUUUCUUCUUGUAUUCUCUUCAGCUGUACUCCACAAUAUGUACUGUAUGUGAUGCUCCAUGUACUCCAUGAUUCCUUCAAGUUGCACAAGUUGCCUGUUGUAGUUUCAGCCUCUUCCUGAUGUGCCUGAAGACACAAUUCUUAAAUAUCACUUGCCAGUGGCAGAUAAAGUUUAAAGAAGUUUAAAGAAAUAAGGAAAGGACUGGUAGGUUUACCCCGGCUUGAAAUACCGGUUGUGGGUUCAUGCUGGCGCUGUGUGGUGCAGCUCCGUCUCUGCAAGGCACAACGGAAAAACGGAAAAAAUCCGUUUUGGGUCUUUUUUUUUUUCCAGACGCCGGAGCGCUCUCUGGUCAAGCUGUGGGUUUCCGCAGCUCGCCGCUGCAUCUACCGGAAUCAGUGUGAGUGUGAGGCAAGCCGGACUGGAUCAGGACUUGAGCCACAGUGGAUUCAGUGUGAGCCUGGGGUUAAAAUAUUCACCAAGCACUUCUCCACUGUAUUUUCUAUGGGGCAUUCUAUUUUUUUUUAAUUAGUCAAUAUUUUCCUCUCAUUUAUUUAUUUAUUAAACAUUUUUUAUUUAUAAUUUUUUAUUAUUAUUUCUUUUUUUAAUUAUUUUUUCUUUCUCAAAACCACACCAUUCAGGUAAAAAAAAAACCCUGUGAUAUGUAGACACUCCUAAUCAAAA